rnacentral:pre_miRNA from 1 species
GAAACACCCCUAUGAAGCAGAACUUGCUUCAGUGGGGCUUUAGUACUCACUGAGUCUGCCUCUUAGUGUGUUGCU